CGAGGUGUAGCGCAGCUGGUAGCGUACGUGCUUUGGGAGCAUGGGGUCGCAGGUUCGAACCCUGUCACCUCGACCA
rnacentral:tRNA from 3 species